rnacentral:rRNA from 1 species
GACGAACGCUGGCGGCGUGCUUAACACAUGCAAGUCGAACGGUAAGGCCCUUCGGGGUACACGAGUGGCGAACGGGUGAGUAACACGUGGGUGAUCUGCCCUGCACUUCGGGAUAAGCCUGGGAAACUGGGUCUAAUACCGGAUAGGACCACUGCCUGCAUGGGUGGUGGUGGAAAGCUUUUGCGGUGUGGGAUGGGCCCGCGGCCUAUCAGCUUGUUGGUGGGGUGAUGGCCUACCAAGGCGACGUCGGGUAGCCGGCCUGAGAGGGUGACCGGCCACACUGGGACUGAGAUACGGCCCAGACACCUACGGGAGGCAGCAGUGGGGAAUAUCGCACAAUGGGCGCAAGCCUGAUGCAGCGACGCCGCGUGAGGGAUGACGGCCUUCGGGUUGUAAACCUCUUUCAGCACCGACGAAGCGCAAGUGACGGUAGGUGCAGAAGAAGGACCGGCCAACUACGUGCCAGCCGCCGCCGUAA